AGGCUAAGGCGGCACAUAUACUAAAAUUGGAUCGAUACAGAGAAGAUAAACAUUGACCCCUAAAAAUAAUGACACGCAAACCAGUCAAGCGCCCCAAAUUUUU